GAAAAAUUAGUUAAAAUAUAAUAUUAAUUUGUCAAAUUAAAGUUACUACUGUAUUUUUCU
rnacentral:tRNA from 1 species